rnacentral:rRNA from 1 species
CUCCUACGGGAGCAGCAGUGAGGAAUAUUGGUCAAUGGGCGAGAGCUGUAACCAGCCAAGUCGCGUGAAGGAUGAAGGAUCUAUGGUUUGUAAACUUCUUUUAUAUGGGAAUAAAGUGAGGAACGUGUUCCUUUUUGUAUGUACCAUAUGAAUAAGCAUCGGCUAACUCCGUGCCAGCAGCCGCGGUAAUACGGAGGAUGCGAGCGUUAUCCGGAUUUAUUGGGUUUAAAGGGUGCGUAGGUGGUUAAUUAAGUCAGCGGUGAAAGUUUGUGGCUCAACCAUAAAAUUGCCGUUGAAACUGGUUGACUUGAGUAUAUUUGAGGUAGGCGGAAUGCGUGGUGUAGCGGUGAAAUGCAUAGAUAUCACGCAGAACUCCGAUUGCGAAGGCAGCUUACUAAACUAUAACUGACACUGAAGCACGAAAGCGUGGGGAUCAAACAGGAUUAGAUACCCUGGUAGUCCACGCAGUAAACGAUGAUUACUAGCUGUUUGCGAUACACAGUAAGCGGCACAGCGAAAGCGUUAAGUAAUCCACCUGGGGAGUACGCUGGCAACGGUGAAACUCAAAGGAAUUGACGGGGGCCGCACAAGCGGAGGAACAUGUGGUUUAAUUCGAUGAUACGCGAGGAACCUUACCCGGGUUUGAACGCAUUCGGACCGGAGUGGAAACACUUCUUCUAGUAAUAGCCGUUUGCGAGGUGCUGCAUGGUUGUCGUCAGCUCGUGCCGUGAGGUGUCGGCUUAAGUGCCAUAACGAGCGCAACCCUUAUCACUAGUUACUAACAGGUCAUGCUGAGGACUCUAGUGAGACUGCCAGCGUAAGCUGUGAGGAAGGUGGGGAUGACGUCAAAUCAGCACGGCCCUCACAUCCGGGGCAACACACGUGUUACAAUGGUGGGGACAAAGGGCAGCUACCGUGCGAGCGGAUGCUAAUCUCCAAACCUCAUCUCAGUUCGGAUCGAAGUCUGCAACCCGACUUCGUGAAGCUGGAUUCGCUAGUAAUCGCGCAUCAGCCAUGGCGCGGUGAAUACGUUCCCGGGCCUUGUACACACCGC